UUGAGCCGUAUGCGGGGAAACUCGCACGUACGGUUCUUAGGGGGCGGCGGUACAGUAAUGCUCUGCUGCUACCCGAC
rfam:Photobacterium ganghwense strain DSM 22954 contig0010, whole genome shotgun sequence.